rnacentral:rRNA from 1 species
CAGUAGCCGCGGGAAUACGUAGGGUGCAAGCGUUAAUCGGAAUUACUGGGCGUAAAGCGUGCGUAGGUGGUUUUUUAAGUCCGCCGUGAAAUCCCCGGGCUCAACCUUGGAAUGGCGGUGGAGACUGCCAAGCUAGAGUGCGGUAGAGGGAGAUGGAAUUUCGAGUGUAGCAGUGAAAUGCGUAGAGAUCGGAAGGAACACCGAUGGCGAAGGCAAUCCGCUGGGCCUACACUGACACUAAGGCACGAAAGCGUGGGGAGCAAACAGGAUUAGAUACCCCAGUAGUCCCUGUCUCUUAUAC